rnacentral:rRNA from 1 species
AGAGUUUGAUUAUGGCUCAGGAUGAACGCUAGCUACAGGCUUAACACAUGCAAGUCGAGGGGCAGCAUGUUGGUUGCUUGCAACCAAUGAUGGCGACCGGCGCACGGGUGAGUAACGCGUAUCCAACCUACCCUUGUCCAUCGGAUAACCCGUCGAAAGGCGGCCUAACACGAUAUGCGGUUCACAGCAGGCAUCUAAGGUGAACGAAAUGUGAAGGAGAAGGAUGGGGAUGCGUCUGAUUAGCUUGUUGGCGGGGUAACGGCCACCAAGGCUACGGUCAGUAGGGGUUCUGAGAGGAAGGUCCCCCANAUUGGAACUGAGACACGGUCCAAACUCCUACGGGAGCA